rfam:Cycloclasticus sp. symbiont of Bathymodiolus heckerae isolate specimen P Ga0097674_1111, whole genome shotgun sequence.
UGUCGGUCCCCUCGCAACGUGAAAUUGUGAACUCCGCCAGGCCCGGAAGGGAGCAACGGCAGCGAUGGAAUCGUGUGCCGGGGUGUGGCUGGCAUGA